UUCAACCAAACUCAAGGUUGGGUCCGAGUUGAUCCGGCCCGCUUUCUCCCCUUCCCGCUUUAGGGCGAGAGGUCCCAAGUUCGAUUCUCCGGGCGCUCCAUUCUUCCUUCAUUGGAGGUUUGGAAUAAAUUUUUUAUUGCCCCAAUUGGUUUUCUCUUGCCCGGAACGUUCUAAUCUCUAGCCCAUCGUCUGCUUCAAUGUCAAAUGGUUAAACCCAAAACCCUCAACUGUAACUUGUCGCAAAAGAAGCAACUUUUAACUUGGAAAUUCUCUGUCUUGACGUCUACACCAAAGUGAAAACCUUCAACAACCAUCUGGACCAGGCACUCUUGAGCUGGAAAAAUUUCCAUCACCAAUAUAAAUAUAUAAAGAGAGAAAUAGGAUGGUCUUUGGGCAAGUGGUGAUUGGUCCACCUGGAUCAGGGAAGACUACUUACUGCAAUGGCAUGUCUCAGUUCCUCAAACUUAUUGGAAGAAAGGUUGCUGUAAUCAAUUUGGAUCCAGCCAAUGAUAUGUUACCUUAUGACUGUGCUAUCAAUAUUGAGGAUCUCAUAAAACUAAGUGAUGUGAUGGCGGAGCAUUCUCUGGGGCCUAAUGGAGGUCUUGUCUAUUGUAUGGAUUUUUUAGAGAAGAAUAUUGACUGGUUGCAGUCUAAACUGGAACCUCUUUUGAAAGAUCACUAUCUUCUGUUCGAUUUUCCCGGCCAGGUUGAACUAUUUUUUCUUCACUCAAAUGCCAAGAAUGUUGUCAUGAAGCUCAUUAAAAAGUUAAAUCUUAGGUUGACUGCUGUACAUUUAGUUGAUGCCCACCUCUGCAGUGACCCUGGGAAGUAUGUUAGUGCUUUGCUUCUCUCUUUAUCUACCAUGUUGCAUUUGGAGCUUCCACACAUCAAUGUCUUGUCUAAAAUUGACCUCAUUGAGAGCUAUGGAAAGCUGGCUUUCAAUCUGGAUUUCUACACAGAUGUGCAAGGUUUAUCAUAUUUGCAGCGCCAUCUUGAUCAGGAUCCCCGCUCUGCUAAGUAUAGAAAACUUACAAAGGAGCUUUGCGACGUAAUUGAAGACUUUAGUAUUGUCAAUUUCACAACCUUAGAUAUUCAGGAUAAGGAGAGCGUUGGGAAUCUUGUGAAGCUUAUUGACAAGAGCAAUGGAUACAUAUUUGCUGGUAUAGAUGCCAGUGCAGUUGAAUUCAGCAAGAUUGCAGUACGACAAGUUGAUUGGGAUUAUUACAGAGCUGCAGCGGUGCAAGAGAAGUACAUAAAGGAUGAUGAAAAUUUUGAUGAUGAUGAUUGAGAGUGCUUUUUGGUGGGAGAAUGGUGUGUGCCUAAAUUGCCUACGGGUCAGCUAGUUGCUUCCUUGUCUUGUGGUCUGACAAAAUUAAGAUAGUGGAUCAACAGGAUAUACAACAAUGACAAUUCCUCUCUUGUUUCUUUUUUUUCCCCUAUUGUUUAAAAUCCCAUUUUAAAUUUUGCAUCAUACCCUUGUACUUCAAUUUUGUAUAAUAAAAAUAUAUAUAUUUAAAAAAAAAAGAGGAAAAAC